rnacentral:rRNA from 1 species
AUUCCAGCUCCAAUAGCGUAUAUUAAAGUUGCUGCAGUUAAAAAGCUCGUAGUUGGAUUUGUGGCGCGGCCGUCCGGCACGGAUCCUUCAUUGGGCCCGUCUGUCCGGUUUUUCGGCCGCCCCAUUCUCGGGUAGUGUGUCGCUGGCAUUAGGUUGUCGGCUUCUUCACGCCCGUCGUUUACUGUGAAAAAAUUAGAGUGUUCAAAGCAGGCUUAGGCCGUUGGAUACAUUAGCAUGGAAUAAUGAGAUAGGGCCACGACGGUCUAUUUUGUUGGUUUGCACGUUGUGGUAAUGAUUAACAGGAACGGUUGGGGGUAUUCGUAUUCAAUUGUCAGAGGUGAAAUUCUUGGAUUUAUGGAAGACGAACUACUGCGAAAGCAUUUACCAAGGAUGUUUUCAUCA